rnacentral:lncRNA from 1 species
GAGGAAAGAAAGCGCAGAGAAAUGACAAGACUUCCUCAAAUCGACGUAACAUGCUAUCAGUCUAGGUCUGAAUCCUGUGCCCCAUCAGUAUCCAAGAAGAUGCUUUGGGAUUUUAAUUGGAUAUUAAUUAAUAAUUUGGAUUGGAAGUGUUCUCUUAUCAAGACAGAGAAGGCAAGACUGAAUAGCUCACCUGUAAGAAAACAACAACAACAACAGAAAACAGAAAAUGAAAACCUUUCCAAACCAACUGAGGAUUACGCACAUGGUAACUACAAGAGGUUAAAAACAAUCUCAUGGGGGACCUUGAAGAUGGCGGAAGAGUAAGACGCGGAGAUCGCCUUCCUCCCCACGGAUACACCAGAAAUACAUCCACACGUGGAACAACUCCUAUAGAACUCCUACUGAAGGCUGGCAGAAGACCUCAGACCUCCCAAAAGGCAAGAAACUCCCCACGUAACUGGGUAGGGCAAAAGAAAAAAACAGAGACAAAAGAAUAAGGACGGCACCUGCACCAGUGGGAGGGAGCUGUGAAGGAGGAAAAGUUUCCACACACUAGGAAGCCCCUCUGCGGGCGGAGACUGCGGGAGGCAGAGGGGGGAGUUUCGGGACCGCGGAGUAGUGCACAGCGACGGGUGCGGAGGGCAAAGCGGGGAGAUUCCUGCACAGAAGAUCGGUGCCGACCAGCACUCACCAACCCGAGAGGCUUGCUGCUCACCCACCGGGGCGGGCGGGGCUGCGAGCUGAGGCUAGGGUUUUGGUUUUGGACGGAGCUCAGGGAGAGGACUGGGGUUGGCGGCUUGAACAUAGCCUGAAGGGGUUAGUGCACCACGACUAGCCGGGAGGGAGUUCGGGG